rnacentral:sRNA from 2 species
AUAUCUCUCUGUACGGGAAGGAUGAGAAGCUUCGACUAAGGUUCGAUUCGAGCGCAGCGAGAAAGCGUUGCCGCAGGCAACGACCCGAAGGGCGAAGCGCGCAGCGCUGAGUAAUC